UCUAACUUAAUGUUAAUAAUACUCUCUCUCCUCGAGUCGUAUCUCUUCAGCUUCAACUAGAGCCAUCACCUCCGUUUGGAUCGCCGACGAAGAAGGGACUUUGACAGCGAAACCAUCCAGCAGCGAUCCCGUUUCGUCUCGAAGAACACCCGAGAUCACCCCUUCGGUCGCCUCUUCACAGAAAGCUCCGUCGACGUUGAUCUUGAAGGUUCAUGGCUUCGGUGAGACCCAUACCUCAGUUGAUUGAGCUUUUUCAGUAUAAAGAUUCGAUCUUUGUGAGUUGCACUUGCUAAAAUUUCCGUGUAAUACCUUAGCUGCAUCAAUUAGGGACUUCGGAUCUGGUGGUUUCCUUCUGAAGACAAAUUAAUUUCUUGCUUUCCACAAAAACCACUGCAGGGACGCAAUAUCUUCAAAGGAUCUUUCCAAACAGCUUCUGUCCAAGCGCAGAGUAAAAAUAGGUGCUCAAUUGUCUCUGUUUCUUGCUUACAGAAAAGGCAAGCUGGCGAUGCUAAGAUUCUCCUCUUGUAAAGAUUCUCCAUAGUGGGAAUUGCAUUUUGACAUAAACUCCAGAUAAAGGUUUUUAUUUUGGGGGGCAUUUUCAUA